rnacentral:rRNA from 1 species
UACGGAGGGUCCGAGCGUUGUCCGGAAUUAUUGGGUUUAAAGGGUGCGUAGGCGGUUUAAUAAGUCAGUGGUGAAAUUUCGGGGCUCAACCCCGUCCUUGCCAUUGAAACUGUUAGACUAGAGUACUGUAGAGGUAGGCGGAAUUUCUGGUGUAGCGGUGAAAUGCAUAGAUACCAGAAGGAACCCCGAUUGCGAAGGCAGCUUACUAUAGAGAUACUGACGCUGAGGCACGAAAGUAUGGGUAGCGAACAGG